rnacentral:RNase_P_RNA from 1 species
UGUGUGGGCGAUCUGGUCGCGACGCGCGCACGGCGCGGGCACGGCGCCCCUACGGGGCGCACGGCUCACGCGCACGCGUAUCGAGGAAAGUCCGGGCACCACAGGGCAGGGUGCCAGCUAACGGCUGGGCGCGUAAGGCGACGGCAAGUGCAACAGAAAGCAGACCGCGUCCGCGUUCGCUCAGCGGCGAGCACGGGCGUAAGGGUGAAACGGUGCGGUAAGAGCGCACCAGUGCCCCUGGUAACAGGGGCAGCUAGGUAAACCCCACCCGGUGCAAGGUCCGAUAGGGAGAGAGAGCCUGCCCGGCUCGUCAACAUCUCCGGGUUGACCGCUAGAGGUGCGCGGCGACGCGCGCCCGAGAUAGAUGACCAGACGCCUCGCCACCAGGCGGGGCAGACAGAACCCGGCUUAUCAGCCCACCAGCCU